GAAAGAAAGAAGAAGAGGAGGAGAGAGAGAGAGAGAGAGAGAAGGGUUAGGGAAAGCAAAUAGCAAGAUGCAUCUUAACCGUGUGUGGUUUUUUUUUUUUUUUCUUCCUUUCUUUCUUACUCUUC
rnacentral:miRNA from 1 species